rnacentral:rRNA from 1 species
UGGGGAAUAUUGCACAAUGGGCGAAAGCCUGAUGCAGCAACGCCGCGUGAGGGACGACGGCCUUCGGGUUGUAAACCUCUUUUAGCAAGGAAGAAGCGAAAGUGACGGUACUUGCAGAAAAAGCGCCGGCUAACUACGUGCCAGCAGCCGCGGUAAUACGUAGGGCGCAAGCGUUAUCCGGAAUUAUUGGGCGUAAAGAGCUCGUAGGCGGUUUGCCGCGUCUGCUGUGAAAACCCCGAGGCUCAACCUCGGGCCUGCAGUGGGUACGGGCAGACUAGAGUGCGGUAGGGGAGAUUGGAACUCCUGGUGUAGCGGUGGAAUGCGCAGAUAUCGGGAAGAACACCGAUGGCGAAGGCAGAUCUCUGGGCCGUAACUGACGCUGAGGAGCGAAAGGGUGGGGAGCAAAACAGGCUUAGAUACCCUGGUAGUCCACCCCGUAAACGUUGGGAACUAGUUGUGGGUCCAUUCCACGGAUUCCGUGACGCAGCUAAACGCAUUAAGUUCCCCGCCUGGGGAGUACGGCCGCAAGGCU